AUGGUGUUUUCGCAGUCGUCGAAAGCGAAACAAAAAUCCAGAGAUUCUUUCAGUGUUGUUGUUGCGGUUGCAAUUAUCAAGAAGCCAUAUGAAAGGUUUUUUGCUGCAAGCAUAAGCCCUUUUUUUAUUGUUUCAUCUGGUCUGCAUGCAAGGCUGACUCGGAUAUGGCGCAUAUUCGGAUAUGGGGCAAGGCUGGUUGGUCUUGACAGUAUGUUUGUGACUACUGGUGUAGCAGCAGGGCACAAUCAUUGA